rnacentral:rRNA from 1 species
AUUGAACGCUGGCGGCAGGCCUAACACAUGCAAGUCGAGCGGUAGCACAGAGAGCUUGCUCUCGGGUGACGAGCGGCGGACGGGUGAGUAAUGUCUGGGAAACUGCCUGAUGGAGGGGGAUAACUACUGGAAACGGUAGCUAAUACCGCAUAACGUCGCAAGACCAAAGUGGGGGACCUUCGGGCCUCAUGCCAUCAGAUGUGCCCAGAUGGGAUUAGCUAGUAGGUGGGGUAACGGCUCACCUAGGCGACGAUCCCUAGCUGGUCUGAGAGGAUGACCAGCCACACUGGAACUGAGACACGGUCCAGACUCCUACGGGAGGCAGCAGUGGGGAAUAUUGCACAAUGGGCGCAAGCCUGAUGCAGCCAUGCCGCGUGUGUGAAGAAGGCCUUCGGGUUGUAAAGCACUUUCAGCGGGGAGGAAGGCGGUGAGGUUAAUAACCUCAUCGAUUGACGUUACCCGCAGAAGAAGCACCGGCUAACUCCGUGCCAGCAGCCGCGGUAAUACGGAGGGUGCAAGCGUUAAUCGGAAUUACUGGGCGUAAAGCGCACGCAGGCGGUCUGUCAAGUCGGAUGUGAAAUCCCCGGGCUCAACCUGGGAACUGCAUUCGAAACUGGCAGGCUAGAGUCUUGUAGAGGGGGGUAGAAUUCCAGGUGUAGCGGUGAAAUGCGUAGAGAUCUGGAGGAAUACCGGUGGCGAAGGCCGCCCCCUGGACAAAGACUGACGCUCAGUGCGAAACGUGGGAGCAACCGGAUAAGUACCCUAUAUCCACGGCGAAUUCGCAGCGGGUAUCAGCUUAUCGAUACCUGCGACGUCUAGUGCGCGUGGAGCCGCGUGUGUUCCUUCUCUACAGAAUUAAUAGAAUACUGACGAUCGACUAGCGUUGCCAGCUUAGUAGU